GCACUGCCGACGAGUGCCAAACAGGAGGAAACAGCUGUCCAGUGC
rnacentral:hammerhead_ribozyme from 1 species